UGUUAUUUAUUUCAAUUUUAGGGGGAUAAAGUGAGACUCCUUAAAUCCAGUGGUGCUGCAAAAACUGUCUGGCAACCAGAAGUUACCAUACUUCAAGAACUGAAAAAAAAGUUAGAAGUUGCUCAGAAAACUGCAGUUGUUCAGAAAAAAACAGUUCAAAUUAUCACAAUGGAUGCAGAAAAAGUUAAAAAACUUGAACAGGAGGUAGCCAAACAAGCUUUAGAGGUGAGGAAGCUCAAGGAAGGAGGAGCAAAUAAAUCACUAUGGGCUCCAGAGGUUGAGAAACUUCUAGCGUUGAAGAGUCGGUUAGCAGAGGCUACUGGCUCUACUUUGAAAGAUAUUCAAGGAGAUAAAAAGGGCAAGAAAUGAAGUUACACAGGAGUAAGAGAAUGUGUAUAAUUAUUAUUUAUUUCUAUGAGAACUAUUUUUUAUUUUGAUAGCCAGAAUAUUUAUUGAAAUACCCUAGGUAUUUAAAUCACCCAGUUUGGAUAAUUUCAGUUACGUUUGCUUAUUCCUAGUAUCGUUUUCUUAUGUUUCAAUUGUUCAUUGUUCUUUUCACUUUUAGAUAAUUUUAAACUAUUGACAUUUGUUUUCUGUCCGAUAUCAUUCCCUUGGUUAUUGCAGUAUGUAUCAGAGGUGAUAGGUGUAUACCGGACGACCAGUUCAGUAUUGUUGAAUGUUCCAAAACAAGAAAUAAAAAUUUCAUAUUCUUUUUGUUCGCAUCAACCAGUAGGCAUGGAUGAUCUUGUGACAAAUUUAUAAAAUUAAUAGAAGGCUGUGUGAAAUCUAUCAUUCUAUCUCGAUAGAAUGCUUUGGAAAUUUUCUUGCAUAUGUUAGUACUUUUUCUGAAAUAAUAUAUCACUUUCAUUUUAAUACAUUUUUUAGAAUAUAACUAAAUAACCAAGUUGUACUUGUAUUCACAGAAUAAAUAAUUCUUUAUUGGA